AAAGAUUGUAGUUUUGCACUAUUUAAAUUUAACGUUUGACUAUCAAUCUUGUUUAAAAAAUAAUUAGUAUUUUUAUUGAUAUUGGAUGAUACAACAUGAAUAAUACUUUAUGUGUGACUACUUUUUAAUUUUUUCUCAUAAAUUUUUUAAAUAAGAUAAACGGUCAAACAUUGACCACGGAAAUCCAUAACUACAAUUAAA
rnacentral:pre_miRNA from 1 species